rnacentral:ribozyme from 1 species
UACCUUGCGUGCUUUUCAUGGACUCGGCCGGGAUGCACUGCCCCUUUGAAGUGGUGGCCAAGCUGCGCAGUUGGCUGAAA